UACGUAGGUGGCAAGCGUUGUCCGGAAUUAUUGGGCGUAAAGCGCGCGCAGGCGGCCUUUUAAGUCUGAUGUGAAAGCCCACGGCUCAACCGUGGAAGGUCAUUGGAAACUGAAAGGCUUGAGUACAGAAGAGGAAAGCGGAAUUCCACGUGUAGCGGUGAAAUGCGUAGAGAUGUGGAGGAACACCAGUGGCGAGGCGGCUUUCUGGUCUGUAACUGACGCUGAGGCGCGAAAGCGUGGGGAGCAAACAGG
rnacentral:rRNA from 1 species